CACUAUCCCAGCUCCAGGUACUCUGUGUGUACCCCUUUAGUACUGAGACGGCAGAGAGGUGGCUAAUUUUCAAAAUCAUCUCACCCCACCACAGGGGUGAUGAUGCCCCAUCCCGAGAAACAUGGAGUCAACAAGGACUCCAGAGUUUUUCUGGAAGACAGUGGGAUGAGAAGAAAUGUUCACAUUUCGGAAAAUAAUUCUGAGAGGAGAAAGGAUCUUAAGAAUCUUCUCUUCAGAGCAAAGCAUAGGCCACCUCAGGGUGGGAGAACACUAAGCCAACCUGUUUAUCUCCACAGUCACGGCCAGAGGCAAAAUGACUUUUACAUAAACGAUGAGCUUCAAAGGAGGGAUGGAUAGGAGCUGUACAAUGAAGUUGCCAAGGUAACGUCUUGCUGAGCGAAAAGGGAUGGCAGUUGAGUUUUAUGCAGACGCAGUGGGAGCAUGAGACCUAAUCGCUCUCCAUCUUGUCUCUCUGGAAGACCAGCAGGAGUGUGGAUGUGGAUGCCUGAGAAGCAGACGGACAGAAGCAGGAAGCGAGUCCCUUUCCCAUUUGGAGAGACCCAGUGAGAACUACUCCACUAGCAGCACAUGGAAGUCACGCCAUUUAAUCUUUCUAUUUGCUAGCGAUGAAUCAAUGAACUCUGAUAGCCACUGCCCAGAGCUAGCAUCUGGGGAGCUGCAGAUGAGCUAUUUGAUAGCUGACUUUUUAGACAAGGGGCAUUAAAGCAUAUUAAAAG
rnacentral:lncRNA from 1 species